GGGAGGCUGGGACAGAGACAGAGGGAAAGAUCACUAGAUCCCCACCCGGGCCAGCAUCACCGGUAAACAUGACCAGGGUCAAUAUGAUUACAGCCUCAACUCUUCAGGAAGUGUCGCCGCCCUACCUAUGAAAUACAGGCAAUGCAUGCUCCUCCUACAUGGGCACAGUGCUUCAUGAAGCACAGAGAGCUCCGGGCAAGAACCUUGAUCACGUACAGGAGACUCAGUCCCCACAUCACCAGGUCUGGAAACGGUUACUACGCUUCAACCAUCCGAUUCCUGCUUCAGCGUGGACAACAUCACUCACCUCAACACUGAGCCGAGCACGGAACACAACCGACAGACUCACUUUCAAGGACCUUACCACUCGUGUUAUUUGAUUGUUAGUUCGUUAUUAAUUAUUAGUUUUCUGUAUUUGCAUGGUUUGGCCCUCUUUGUAACUUUUCAUUGAUUCUAUUGUAUUUCGUUGUUCUACUUAA